rnacentral:misc_RNA from 1 species
UGCUGGGACACCUCCUUUCUACGGAGAUUUCGGCCGGCUGUUCGUCCGGCGGUGCGUGCCCCGGCGUCGCGGCAGUCGCGGCGGUUUGGGGCUGCUGGUGUGGAAGAGAUCAUGGGCUUUCGGUUCGUCCGUCGUGGGAUGUUCCGCGGGAGUGGUGUGGAUGCGCUUUUGGGCUCCCGGAUCGCCACCCCAGGCUUUGGCCUGGCGCGAUUCGAUGCCCAUCGUGCCUGAUGGCGGGCUGGUCCCGUCCGGACGGCGUGGUGGUGCGUGGUGGCUUGAGAACUGGAUAGUGGACGCGAGCAAGACGGGGUUUCCUUUGAUUCCUCGUUCUUGCUGUUGAUUUCGAAUCGAACUCUAUUUUUAGUGUUUGUUUCGAUCGUUUUGUGAUCAUUUUAGUGUGAUGAUUUGUCGUCUGGGAAUUUGCUAGGAAGGAUCCUUGCGGCCAUGCGCACCGUGUGGUGCGUGUUGCCUGCAAGGGUGUAUGGUGGAUGCCUUGGCACCAGA